rnacentral:tRNA from 1 species
UGGCUCAGACAGUAAAGCGUCUGCCUACAAUGCAGGAGACCCAGGUUCAAUCCCUGG